rnacentral:lncRNA from 1 species
UUUUUUUUUUUGUUGAUUUUUAUUUAUUUGUUGCUUCCUGUUUGAUAUUUGUAUGUUUUUUGUUUUGUGGUUUUAAUUAGACCAGAAAGGCUUGAAUAAUUAUAGAACGGUUUGCAAUUUUUUAUUUAGAAGAAAUUAAUACAUGCUUAUUUGAGAUAGGCAUUGAAAAUGUUUCUCUUUGCAAAAAUAUUUUAUAAAUAAAUCUAUUGUCAUAUGCAUGGUUGGUAUAUAUUAUAAUUUGAUUUCUUUAGUAAAGAUCUUUUUUUAGUAAAAUGAUAUUGUAUGUUCACAUGUUUGCUUCUAGAAUGAUAUUUGGGAUUUUUACUAAAAGCAAUGUACUUUGACUAUUUGAAUAUAUAGUCGUUGCUUUAUGUUGAAGAAAUCCAAGUUCAUAUACUAACUUUCUUAAUCAUAUAUCUUUAGUUUUUUUUAUUCUUUAUUAAAGCCAUAUAUUUUGAUUCUAUGGAUGAUAAAGUAAUAUAUUAUUAUUUCUUACUACCUCAAGAGAUAAUUCCUCUAGCUAAUAAGAAGAAAAAUCUAAAAGUGGAAGGACAUGUGUCUUUGUUACUUAUCUAGUGAGUAUCAAAAUAACCAUAUAAAAUAUCACCUUGAGGUAAGUGUUGAUAUUUUAUUCCAAAAUUUAAUGUGCCUUUUAUAUAUCUCAUAAUUCUUUUUAAAGUUUGAAUGUGUGUAAAUCCUAAUUUAGAAAGAUAUUGUAGUAAAUUGCCUAGAAUAUAAGCACAAUCUGGUCUGGAAUUAACAAUAGCAUACAUCAAAUUACCAAAAACUUGAGAAUAUGGAUAAUCUAAUGAAGUAAUAUAGUCUUCAUUAGUUGAACAAAUUCCUAGUUGAUUUGGGAUAUAUAAUAGGUUAGAUUCAACAUAUUGAAUUCAUUAGGUUUAUUUGUUAAAUAUUUUGCUUCAUGAAGGAUUAUCCAUCUUUCUUCUCUAUUUUUUAGGAUAGCAUUGCCUAAAAUGUAAUGGAUUUCUUCUUCAUCUAACAUGUUAUAUUCUUGUUUUAGAAUGCUUUUUACUUGUUGAAUUCAGAAAAUCUUGUUGGUGAUAAUGAUACAAUCAUCAAUUUAGGCUAUAAUUAUGAUAAAAUCCUUUUCAUUUUUUCUUUUGAUGUAUAUGUUUGCAUCUGAUUUUAGAUGUUGAUAUUUGUGAAGAAGUAAAUAUUGAUCUUAUCUUUGAUACCAUACUAUAAAAGAUUGUUUAAGACUAUAUAGGAAUUUAUUUAACUUAUAUAUAUUAUUAAUAUGUAUAAGAGGUAAUCCUUCAAAAAUACUCAGAUAGAUGUCUUCUUCAAUAAAACCAUUUUAAAAAGGAAUUUUAAGAUCUAAUUGAUGUAUUUCUAAAUUAUUUUAAGUCUCUUAGGCAAGAAGAACUUUGAUAGAGUUAAAUUUGACUACAAGAGAGUAUGUCACUAUGUAAUUUAUACCUUAAAUUUGGAUGAAAUCUCUUGCAACUAUCUUUGCUUUAUAUUUGUCAAUACUUCCAUGAGCUUUAGUUUUUAUUUUUAAAAUCCACAUUGAAUUGAUUGGUUUUUUUUAUUAGGAGGUAAAUUCGUCAUUGUCCAUGUAUUAUUCUUAUUUAAGGGUGUAAUUUUAAUAUUAAUUAUUUUUUGCCAUUCUUGAGCAUCAGCCCUCUCUAUUGCUUCUUGAAUGGAGUUUGGAACUUCUAUGGUGGUAGAAACAAGGUAGGCUUGGUAACGUUGAUUACAAUGGCGUUUAUAUUUUUUUCUUCUUUGUGUAGACUCUAACAAUCUUGUAGUUGGUUUAAUAAUUUUUGUUGGUCAAGAUCUAGAAGGAAGUCUUGGAUCUUGUAAUAUGGAAUGGACUACAUCAUAUUCAAGGAAUAAGAUCUCUUGAUCAUUUUGUAAUGAUUUUUGAGAAAAGACUUCAAUAAUAUCAAUAUAAGAAGGAAGUUGGUUUUCCAAAUUUUGAAAAGCACCAUAUAUUUAUUGAUUAAAUACAUAUGGCUCUUGUGGUAGUGGCUUUGGUGGUGUAGUCAUUCCUUGAAUAUGAAGUGUGGUGUGCUCAUUGGACCUUAUAGUUGUUGAAGGUUGCUUAAAUAAUUCUAAAUCUAUUAAAAGUUUUUUAUUAUUUUUUUGUAAAUAUAUUAAUUUUUGAUCAUAUAGAUUCUCAUUGAAGAGAACAUUUUUUAAAAUGAGAAUUUACUGAUUUUGUAUAUUCAUAAGUCUAUAGGCUUUAGAUUUUUUAUUAUAUCCUAAAAAGAUAGCCUGUUGUGAAUGAGAAUCUAAUUUCUUUCUUAUUUCUUUAGAAAUGAAUAUAUGAGCUUUGCAACAAAAUAUUUUAAGAUAGGAUAAAUUUGAUUGUCUUUUGUAUCACAAUUCAAAUGGUAUUUUGGUACUUUGUACAAAUUUUUUAAGGCUCUUAUUUUAGAGGUAAUUAGCUAUUUGGAGUACUUCACCUAAAAAAAAAUUAGGUAAGUUUGAAUAGGAUAGCAUUGCAAGAACUAUCUAUAUUAUUGUUCUAUUUUUUCUUUUAAAAAUAUCAUUUUGUUGUAGUAUAUAAGAAAUAGUAUAUUCUUAUUUUAUUAUUUUUUUGUUAUUUAAAUCUUUAAAUUUAUUUGAUUUAUAUUCACUUCCACAAUCAAAUCUUAAAAUUUUGAUUUUGAAACUUGUUUGUUUUUUCACAAAUUUUUUGUAUAAGAUGAAUUUUUCAAAUCCUUCAAAUUUUAGUUUCAUCAAAUAUAUAUGGCAAUAUCUUAUUAGAUCAUCAAUAAAUGUGAUGAAAUAAAUACAUUUUUAAUAUGUGCCUAUUUAUAUCAGACCACAAAUAUCAAAAUAUAGAAGUUCUAACAAUUAAGUAGCUCUUUGUACACCUUUUGUAGGAAACUUCUUCUUAUAUUAUUUAUCUUCUAUAGAAGGUUGAUAUAAGAUAAUUUUUUUUUCAUCAAAGAGGUCAAUUUCCUUUGCCAUUGUUUGUAUUUUUUUAAAUCUUUGCAAAUUUAUGUGUCUUAGUCUUAAAUGCCACAAAUCAACUUUAUUUAAUUAUGUUGUUACUGGAAUAGAAAUUUGAAACUUAUUUAAAAGUAUUGUUGCAUAUAAUUCAUAUAAAUCAAGGUUUAAUUUGUAUAUUGCAAUAGUUUGAUCAAAUUUAUUUAUAAGUAUAGUUGCUCCAACUCUUAUGUAAAUUUCUCUUCCUACCUUAUCCAAUUAUUUGGCAAAAAAUAAAUCCUUUGCAAGUCCUAGUAUAUGUAAUAUAUCAGGUAUGAUUUUUUCAUUGCCAUUUGUAAGUUUGAUAUUUACAUCACUACAUCCUUCUAUUAUUUAUGAUAUAGUAUUGUCUCCUAAAUAGACAACUUAAUUGACUUCACUUUUGAUGUAUUUGACAAAUCAUUCUAGCUCAUGACACAUAUGUUGAGUUGCUCUUGAGUCUAUAUACCACAUUGAAUUUGAAUUUUCUUUAAUUAUAAGUGCUGCUAUAUAUAAUUUAUUUGAUUUUGUAAUAAUAUUUUUUUCUUUUUUGUUAUUAUAAUUUUUAGUUACUAUUCUUGUUUUGCAAUCUUUGAUGAAGUUACCAGGUUUUUUUGUAGAAAAAACACUUCUUGUCAAUAGCAAAAUUACUUUUUUUAUGUGCUUAGAAGUAAUACUCUUUCUUUGUAGAUUAUUUUUAAAAUUCUUAUUAAAAUAAGAUUUCUUAUUAUUAUUCUAAAAUUUCUUACCUACAUAUAGGAUUGAAUUAUUAUCAAAUAUUAAACUCAUGUUUUUCAUGAGUAUUUCUUCCAAGAACAAAUUUUUUCUCAAAGAUACUAAUGUAAUCCCAAACUGUCUUCUUAAAGAGCUAAUGAAGGAUCUAUAAUUUAGAGGCAAACUUCUCAUUAAGGUUAGAAUUGCUUCAUCAUCUAGAACUAUUGAUUAUGUUACUAACAAUUGUUCCAUAUGUACUCUAAAGGUAUAUAUGGGUUUAACACUAUCACCUUCUCUUAUUUUUAAGGUGUAUAAUUUGUCUUUUAAACACAUCUUAGUUAUUGCACAUGUGAAACAAUGUUAUUUUCUAGACAAUUGUUGAUUAUGGUAAAAGAUAAGGUAUCUUUGUUUACUCGUGUGCUUAUACUCCCUACUCCUAUGGCAAGUAAAGCUGAGAUUCUGGCAACAAUUUCAGUUAUUAUUGGUUCUAUUAAUAAGCAUUUUUUACCACUUACUAUAGAUCAUAACUUUUUAGCUUUAAAAACUAGUAUUAAUCUAUAUUUCCAUGUAUUAAAUUAUGAACCAUUGAAUUUCAGAACAUGAUUGAUUCCACUUUUUGUAUCAUCUUCAAUAUUCUUAAUUUGAAGUUGAAUUAAAAUUAUUUAUAAAUUUAUUCUUGAUCAAUUCAAUUUUACCUUUAUUUAUGGUUAUUUUUUGCUAUUUGUAGAUUUAAAAUUGCUUCUCAUGGUUUGAAGAACUUCAAACUCUUCUUCAAUCUUUUCCAUUAGAAUAGAUUGUUUUAUUGUUAUUAUUAUAACCUUAUUUGUAAUUUCAGCAAUUCUUUUCUAGAUUGAAACAUUCAUCUAUUCUUAUAGUUUUAUAAGGAUCAAAUAUAUCUAUAGCUUUGAUACCAUGUUGGAAACAUUAUUAUAUUUUAAUAUAAUCAAUCUUACACAAUAUAUUGUGUAUACAAGAGUGACACCAAGAGUCACAACUCUUGGUGUAAGAUCAACAAGAAUAGAUAGUAUUCUAUACAUGAGACUAGUGUACUAUAUGGAAUAAUUCUCCCAAUACAUCUCACCACCAAAUAUACUACCAAAUAUACUGCGUUUCAGGGCAAGUAUAUUAACAAAAACCUGAAACAAAACCAAUACGCAAUUGAAGGAAUUCAUCAAUGAUGUUCACCCCUUUGACUGCCGCGGAUCUAAGUUCAUGUUCUCCAAUUGGCACAGCAAGUCAUCCUACAGCAUCGUGUUGAGGAAACGUUGUUAAGGUGGUCCAUAUUGAAAUUGUCCCACGCGUUUGUCAAUGAUCGUGUACAUUUCUUGCAACUGACGAGCAUUUUAUAAUGGUAAGAUAGCGACGACAGUGCUAACAGAAGAAUUUGAAUAGUCUGGUAAAAGGAGAAGUGAGCACAAGUAAUCACAUACUGAUGUCAGUUGUCUCUGGCAAGCUCGGCAUUGCUAAACCUAUGGAGCUUCGCUAAGAGGAUUUAGUAGUUCUAUUUUUUGCAAGUACAUUCUUCUAGUGACUUUUCAGGGCAAGUUGCGGUAUAAAUGUUCUAGACUUAGUAAAGUUUAUUUUUUUCUUUUGAAAGUUGAAAGUCUGUGAGGUUACUUCUCUCUUUGCAGCGAGUAUUUUCAUUAUAUUUUCUUUCAUUGUGUUUAGCGGAUCAUUGGAAUACGUUGUAACUUGUAAAACUUGGAAGAAUUAUUGCAAACUUAAUUUCUCAUCAUCUGCAAAGUUGCAUGGCACAUCUUUGAAGUUUGUGUGUUCUGGCUUGUAAGGUGGGCAUUGCCCAUCAAGCGUGCUAGGGUUGAGUUAUAAGAUUGCGACGUGUUGAAUUGAAGACAUGAGAGACUGGUACAGAAUACUCUCCAGAAACCAACAGAUACGAACCUCACAUUGCUUGCCUUCUUUGGUUGUCGGUACAAUAGGAGUACAUUACAAUAGUCCAAAGUACAUCACCUUUAGGUACUUCCGGAGGUCAUCACACCUUUCUCAACCUUUGUGUGCCGGGGUGGAUUCUUUCAAAUCACAAGGUAUUGAAAGCCUUGUCAACUUUUAACCAGAUUGUAACAAUCUCCCUCUAGCUUAGAACAAGGACUUCAAGCCAUCAAAUUUGACGUUCAUAGGGACGAAGGCAGUUAUCCGAGAAAACGUCUUUGUAUGAAGUUUUAACUGAUAUAGUGCUCAGCAAUGUGAGUAUUAAUGAGACAUUCAAUCGCCGCCUAUAAAAAUUGUACAUGUAACAGUGAUCUUUGUUUCUGUUUCGGAGUCAUAAUUUUUAUUCAGCACGCUUGUAUAAUUGGAUUCAAUCUUGUGAACGAUUAUUCUUCGCGAUGUGCACUGUGAUCCAUCAUCCUUAGCCUCUUCCGUGGUCACAUCAACGACUGUUGCAGCAACGAACACCCUAAUAAUGAUGGUUUCACAAACUUUGAAGAACUGGGUCACUGAAUCAUAUCAAUUCGAGAUGGAAAAUUCAAGCCAGCCCUGACGAUUAUUGCCCAAGGUUUUAAGCACGAGCACAUCUAGAAGCAACGCAGUUUUCCUUAACGUCCACUGUUUAUAGCGUACUUUAUUGCUCCUCAUGAAUCAAUAAUUGCAACCUAAAUGACACAUUACACUUAAGAAGAAGCAGCUGGGUACUAACUGGCACAAAAUCUAGCGUCCAGUACUCUUCUGGACUUAUUUCUUUUUCAUAUGAAGAUGUCAAUCAUCACUGAAAAACUUCCUAGAAACAAACUGAUAUCUCAAGUCACGGAAAAAAUAAACAACUUGCUCGCUCGAGUCGAUCAUCAAGUUCUUGUGUACAAAUCCUCUGUCCAUCCGGCUAACCUCAUUGUUCAUUAAACAAUUUUGCUGCAAGAAAGACAGACAAAUUAUGUCAAUUAAAUUCAUUGUCACACUGAGCAAUGCGGUUUGCCUUCCCUGCUGAAGCUUUAAAAC